rnacentral:hammerhead_ribozyme from 1 species
ACACUGAUGAGGAGUUCCACAACGGGACGAAACGGCCGUCCAGUAC